GCUCAACCGAGGAAGUGCUUCGAAAACUGGUAAACUUGAGUGCAGAAGAGGAAAGCGGAACUCCAUGUGUAGCGGUGGAAUGCGUAGAUAUAUGGAAGAACACCAGUGGCGAAGGCGGCUUUCUGGUCUGUAACUGACGCUGAGAUUCGAAAGCAUGGGUAGCAAACAGGAUUAGAUACCCUGGUAGUCCAUGCCGUAAACGAUGAGUGCUAAGUGUUGGAGGGUUUCCGCCCUUCAGUGCUGCAGCUAACGCAUUAAGCACUCCGCCUGGGGAGUACGACCGCAAGGUUGAAACUCAAAGGAAUUGACGGGGGCCCGCACAAGCGGUGGAGCAUGUGGUUUAAUUCGAAGCAACGCGAAGAACCUUACCAGGUCUUGACAUACCAUGAAAAGCUUAGAGAUAAGUCUUUCCCUUCGGGGACAUGGAUACAGGUGGUGCAUGGUUGUCGUCAGCUCGUGUCGUGAGAUGUUGGGUUAAGUCCCGCAACGAGCGCAACCCUUAUUAUCAGUUGCCAGCAUUCAGUUGGGCACUCUGGUGAGACUGCCGGUGACAAACCGGAGGAAGGUGGGGACGACGUCAAAUCAUCAUGCCCCUUAUGACCUGGGCUACACACGUGCUACAAUGGUCGGUACAACG
rnacentral:rRNA from 1 species